rnacentral:rRNA from 1 species
CAGUCGCCACGGUAACACGAGGGGGGCAAGCGUUGUUCGGAUUUAUUGGGCGUAAAGGGUGCGUAGGCGGUUUGGCAAGUCUUGUGUGAAAUCUUCGGGCUCAACCCGAAGCCUGCACGAGAAACUACCGGGCUUGAGUAUUGGAGAGGUGAGUGGAAUUUCCGGUGUAGCGGUGAAAUGCGUAGAUAUCGGAAGGAACACCUGUGGCGAAAGCGGCUCACUGGACAAUAACUGACGCUGAUGCACGAAAGCUAGGGGAGCAAACAGGAUUAGAUACCCCCGUAGUCCCUGUCUCUUAUAC